GAAAAUGUACUUGUGUCAUGCACAAAGUAGAUAUCCUAACUGACUUGCCAAAACUACAAUUUGUUAACAAGAAAUUUGUGGAGUGGUUGAAAAACAAGUUUUAAUGACUCCAACCUAAGUGUAUGUAAACUUCUGACUUCAACUGUAUAUUAUAAUUUUUUGAAUUUUAGGGGGUUAACUUAGGGUUAGGAUUCAGGAGAUAGAGGUUAGUUACAGAGUGAGACUGAGGGCUGAGGUAUAAGGGGUUAGCUUAAGGUUAGUAUUCAGGAGAUAGAGGUUAGUUACAGAGUGAGACUGAGGGCUGAGGUAUAAGGGGUUAGCUUAAGGUUAGGGUUCAGGAGAUAGAGGUUAGUUACAUUGUGAGACCGAGGGCUGAGGUUUAGGGGGUUAGCUUAAGGUUAGGAUUCAGGAGAUAGAGGUUAGUUACAGAGUGAGACUGAGGGCUGAGGUUUAGGGGGUUAGCUUAAGGUUAGGAUUCAGGAGAUAGAGGUUAGUUACAGAGUGAGACUGAGGGCUGAGGUUUAGGGGGUUAGCUUAAGGUUAGGAUUCAGGAGAUAGAGGUUAGUUACAGAGUGAGACUGAGGGCUGAGGUUUAGGGGGAUAGGGUUUAGGUGGUUAGGGUUGGAGACAGAGAGAGACUGUGGGCUCAGUGGUCAGAUUUAACCAGUAUGCAGGAUGUCUGAUUUGGAGCAGCCCAUCCAUCCAUGGGCCUCAGGGAGUGAAGUUUCUAAAAUUGGUU
ensembl:lncRNA